CAAACCUAUUGUUACAUAUAUUAUGUUCAAUAAACAAAACAUUACAUUGUUUUUCUGACAUGUAUUGAAUCGGUACUAUCUCUUUUUUUUUCCAGAGUUUUUCAUCGAUAGUAGAUCCUAAUGGAAGUGGCAAAAGCAAUGUGAUAGACUCAAUGCUGUUUGUAAUCGGUUAUCGAGCCACCAAGAUCAGAUCCAAAAAGAUAUCAGUUUUAAUACACAAUUCCAAGAAAGAUUCAAAUAUCAGAAGCUGUUCCUGUGCAUUUUCAGCAAAUUAUUGACGAGAAGUUUCAAAAGAAACGCACAUAAAUCUGCGAACGAUGAACAGAUGUCGUAUACAAUUAAAAUAUGGUUGGCACAUGCCUGGAAACGCAUCUAUCGAGAGGAAGAAAAAAGAAGAAGAAAAGAUCAAGAUAUAGAAGGGAAACAAUGAUUUCUUUCUGUAACAAUCCACUCUCCAGGGAUUUUUUGAUGCUAAGAUUAGCGAAGAAUGUCGUAUUAGCUUCAGAGCACUUAAUUUCUUUUUUAUCAAUCUUUAACGUGUCGACAUUUACAGAUAUAUUUUAUCACAUCCAACUAAUUAAUUUUAUUCUUAACGUAUGAAAAUAGUUGAACCAUACAACUAAUUACUAAACUUAUUAAAUAUUACUAUACUUAUAAAAUUUUCUUCUGAAUGAAAAAUGUAAUUGAAAACAUUUGA